rnacentral:rRNA from 1 species
CCUACGGGAGGCAGCAGUGAGGAAUAUUGGUCAAUGGACGCAAGUCUGAACCAGCCAUGCCGCGUGCAGGAAGACGGCCCUAUGAGUUGUAAACUGCUUUUGUACGAGGGUAAACGCAGAUACGCGUAUCUGUCUGAAAGUAUCGUACGAAUAAGGAUCGGCUAACUCCGUGCCAGCAGCCGCGGUAAUACGGAGGAUUCAAGCGUUAUCCGGAUUUAUUGGGUUUAAAGGGUGCGUAGGCGGUCGGAUAAGUUAAGGGUGAAAUCCCGGGGCUCAACUUCGGAAUUGCCUCUGAUACUGUUCGGCUAGAGAGUAGUUGAGGUAGGCGGAAUGUCAGGUGUAGCGGUGAAAUGCUUAGAGAUCAUGCAGAACACCGAUUGCGAAGGCAGCUAACCAGGCUACUACUGACGUUGAGGAACGAAAGCGUGGGUAGCAAACAGGAUUAGAUACCCGUGUAGUC